rnacentral:tRNA from 1 species
GUGGGUAUAGCUCAGUUGGUUAGAGUGCAGGUUUGUGGUACCUGAUGCCGUGGGUUCGAGUCCCAUUACCCACCCCA